rnacentral:lncRNA from 1 species
UUAAAUAAAAGGAUAAAAAGUAAAUAAAAAAAUGUAAUAGCAAUAAGAAACAAUUUUUUAACAUUUUUAAAGUCGUUCAUAAUAAACCCUAUACCCUAAAUCCUAAACACGAAACCCUAAACCUUUGGAUAAACCUUAAACCCUCGGGUAAAAUAAAAUAAAAAAUAAAAAAUAGUAGCAGCUGUAAAACAAGAAUUUUUUAAUAUUGUAAAAGUCGUUCAUACUAAACCCUAAAACCUAAACUUUAAACCCUAUAUAUUAAACCUUAAACCCUUUGGUAAAGAGAUAUUCCAAGGGUUAUGAGUCUAUCCAUGGAUUUAGGAUUUAUCCAAGGGUUUAGAGUUUAGUAUUUACCUAAGGGUUUAGAGUUUCAUGUUUAGGGUUUAGGGUUUAGUGUUUAGUAUGAACGGUUAAAAAAAUCAUUUUUCAUUGUUAUUAUACUUUUUAUUUAUUUUCUAUACUUUUAUUUUAAAAAAUAAAUUCUAAAUAUUUUGUUUCAUUUUUUAAAAUAAUCUGUAUAUAAAAUAAUCAAUUUUCAUUGGUUGGUGAACCUAUAG